rnacentral:rRNA from 1 species
UUAAGAGCUUGCUCUUAUGAAGUUAGCGGCGGACGGGUGAGUAACACGUGGGUAACCUACCCAUAAGACUGGGAUAACUCCGGGAAACCGGGGCUAAUACCGGAUAAUAUUUUGAACUGCAUAGUUCGAAAUUGAAAGGCGGCUUCGGCUGUCACUUAUGGAUGGACCCGCGUCGCAUUAGCUAGUUGGUGAGGUAACGGCUCACCAAGGCAACGAUGCGUAGCCGACCUGAGAGGGUGAUCGGCCACACUGGGACUGAGACACGGCCCAGACUCCUACGGGAGGCAGCAGUAGGGAAUCUUCCGCAAUGGACGAAAGUCUGACGGAGCAACGCCGCGUGAGUGAUGAAGGCUUUCGGGUCGUAAAACUCUGUUGUUAGGGAAGAACAAGUGCUAGUUGAAUAAGCUGGCACCUUGACGGUACCUAACCAGAAAGCCACGGCUAACUACGUGCCAGCAGCCGCGGUAAUACGUAGGUGGCAAGCGUUAUCCGGAAUUAUUGGGCGUAAAGCGCGCGCAGGUGGUUUCUUAAGUCUGAUGUGAAAGCCCACGGCUCAACCGUGGAGGGUCAUUGGAAACUGGGAGACUUGAGUGCAGAAGAGGAAAGUGGAAUUCCAUGUGUAGCGGUGAAAUGCGUAGAGAUAUGGAGGAACACCAGUGGCGAAGGCGACUUUCUGGUCUGUAACUGACACUGAGGCGCGAAAGCGUGGGGAGCAAACAGGAUUAGAU